CCUACGGGUGGCAGCAGUGGGGAAUAUUGCACAAUGGGGGCAACCCUGAUGCAGCGACGCCGCGUGAGCGAUGAAGUACUUCGGUAUGUUAAGCUCUAUCAGCAGGGAAGCAGAUGACGGUACCUGACUAAGAAGCGCCGGCUAACUACGUGACAGCAGCCGCGGUAAUACGUCGGGGGCAAGCGUUAUCCGGAUUUACUGGGGGUAAAGGGGGCGUAGACGGCGAUGCAAGCCAGAUGGGAAAGCACGGGGCUCAACCCCGGGACUGCAUUUGGAACUGUGUGGCUGGAGUGUCGGAGAGGCAGGCGGAAUGCCUGGUGUAGCGGUGAAAUGCGUAGAUAUUAGGAGGAACACCAGUGGCGAAGGCGGCCUGCUGGACGAUGACUGACGUUGAGGCUCGAAAGCGUGGGGAGCGAACAGGAUUAGAUACCCCGGUAGUC
rnacentral:rRNA from 1 species